GCCCUUGAGUUUUGCAAUGUAUUUUGCUGUAGAUAAUUGACUUCAGCACUUUGUAAAUGUCAAAUAAUGAAGAAAUAUUCGACAUUGGACAUUGAAAACAAAGCCUAAACCUUGCAAGAAAUACACCCAUCAUCAAAUGAACAUGGCACAAACUUUGGACAGGAUAUCAUCAGUCACUGACCAUUGAUCAAAGCUCUAAAAGUCUUUAACUCCAAAAUGUAGCAGUACCUGAAAAAGCAUAAAAGUGGAGCUAGAGGAAGUAUUUACAACAGUAAAUUGGCACUGCCUUGGGUGCACUACAGGAUAAAAUAACACAAUUAAAACGCUGUUAGUUUUCAACUUUGAGAGAGUAUGUUGGGUUGCCUAGCCACACAUUCAGUUUCUGGAAAUUAAUUUUUAUAUUUAUUGUGAAACCGCCCAUCAAAGGUGACUUUUCAUUCGUUCGACAGGUCCGGACUGAAAAUUUUUCGUGAGAUGGUUGCUACAUAUUAAUAUUUUUUGUAAAGGUUGAAGUUAGUUUAAACUUUAAUUUUAUGGUAAAGUGAAUACUUUGAAUGAAUGAUUCAUAAUAACUGCACAAUUUGCAUGCUAUAACCCUAAAAAAUAUUAAAGGAUUUAAUUGCUAAGCCUAUAUCGAUUAUUGUUAAUAAGACUGUGGUGCUUGUCCUGAUCAUUUCAAAAAAGCUGAUUUGAUACCUAUUUACAAAUCCAAUGAUAAACAACUCUUAAACAGUUGUAGUCCAAUAUCCCUAGUGUUAAAUUUAGCAGUUAUUUGAGAAAAUUAUUUAAAACAGAUUAUAUCAUUUUGUAGAAAAAGAAAAUAUAAUAAAUAGUAAAUAAUAUAGUUUUAGAAAAGGUGUAGGAUGCCGAAACGCUUUUAAUUGCUCAAUAGUAUUAAUUGACCCAGCGUAAACUAAUUGUUUUAAAUUGUCCCAUAGGAAAAUGUCUAAAGGGUUAAGAUAAAUUAAACGUAUUUGCUUUUUUUUGAUUUAGUAUAAUAAGUAAAGUAUUUUUUAAAACUGAAAAUCUAAAAGAAGUUCUAUUUGAAGAAAAGUUAUUCUUUUGAUUUAUUAUUAGAAUUCGAAUUUUGAUGUAAUAUUUCAUUUUGCUUGUCCAG